AUGGAGAGAGGAGCUCGUGAAUCAUGGUGCCACUCCAUUCUCAUAUGCAAACUCUGCUGGUCUCCGGAGCAGCUGCCCCUGCGCGUUUGUGAAGCCUGUGACCGGCCUGCUCAGGCGGGGGCCGCGCCCUCUGGCGGCGCCCAGAGUCAUUUCAAGUGGUACCAUUUCCAAGGGCAGCCAACAGAUCAAGGUGAAAGGUGGCCAUCUGUGAUGUGUUCAAGAAUUCAGACACACCGAGUCACCAUGCAGGGUGAUCUCCUGCACCUACUACAGCCUCACAUCCGAGUCCAGUACCAUUUGGAACCCAGGGUCUCAGUCGGAUCAGUUCAGAUGACCAAGGAUAUCUGCUAAGGGCAGUAGGGUCCCACACAGCUCUGUAAUUCCCUCUUAGCUACCUGCGUGGAAACGGAAUCUCCAGGUGGAUGUUGUAUUUCGCCAGCAAGAGCCUUUCCCAUUGUGCUUCAUGUGUCCUUUUCUUGCUUAACCAUGAACAUGCACUGUUAUAUCGUUUAACAAUUCAUAAAUAUAAGAAUUCAGUUACUGUGUUAAAAGCAUGAAACAAAACCAGGAUGGUGAACCUCAUCUCUUGCUCCUGCUACAAAGGACAACUCCCCAAAUAACUUGUCUAGUCUUUUUUCUAAGCGAAUAAAUAGAGA
rnacentral:lncRNA from 1 species